AACGAACGCUGGCGGCAUGCCUAACACAUGCAAGUCGAACGAGACCUUCGGGUCUAGUGGCGCACGGGUGCGUAACGCGUGGGAACCUGCCCUUAGGCUCGGAAUAACUCCCCGAAAUGGGUGCUAAUACCGGAUAAUGUCUUCGGACCAAAGAUUUAUCGCCUUUGGAUGGGCCCGCGUUGGAUUAGCUAGUUGGUAGGGUAAAAGCCUACCAAGGCGACGAUCCAUAGCUGGUCUGAGAGGAUGAUCAGCCACACUGGGACUGAGACACGGCCCAGACUACUGCGGGAGGCAGCAGUGGGGAAUAUUGGAAAAUGGGCGAAAGCCUGAUCCAGCAAUGCCGCGUGAGUGAUGAAGGCCUUAGGGUUGUAAAGCUCUUUUACCCGGGAUGAUAAUGACAGUACCGGGAGAAUAAGCUCCGGCUAACUCCGUG
rnacentral:rRNA from 1 species